CAAGCUUCAGAUGGAAUUUAACAAAUAGAUUAUGUGGGACCUCUGCCGCCCGGAUCGAUAUUGGUCACUAUUGGCUGGGAACUCCAGGCAAAUGACUUGACUCCAGUCAGACUACAUUUGAGGUCUUGAGUCUUGCUGGACUACCACUGUGCAAACCUGGCAACCUACCAGAACGCAGCAGACCGGCCCAGCAGAGGGCACCGCAGGUCGCGGGACACGGAGGGGAACUAGUCCAAAAAUAAAAAUAAAUAAAUAAAAUUAAAAAUAAAAAUAAAAUCUGGAUUCAAGGACUGUGUUGUUGAUGACGGUACCUGGAAGAAGACAGCGGUGUGGAAACUCUGCAGUGCAAAAACCAGCGACACAACAUCCAACUUCAUCUGUCACCGCGAAAGGAAGUGAUAGGGCCCACUGCGUCGGGCCACCUCAGCAGCCGUCUCCCCACUGCUGCUGCGGAGCCCUGGCUUCAGGUGUCGCUGAGAC